CAGUAGCCACGGUAAUACAGAGGGUGCGAGCGUUAAUCGGAUUUACUGGGCGUAAAGCGUGCGUAGGCGGCUUCUUAAGUCGGAUGUGAAAUCCCUGAGCUUAACUUAGGAAUUGCAUUCGAUACUGGGAAGCUAGAGUAUGGGAGAGGAUGGUAGAAUUCCAGGUGUAGCGGUGAAAUGCGUAGAGAUCUGGAGGAAUACCGAUGGCGAAGGCAGCCAUCUGGCCUAAUACUGAAGCUGAGGUACGAAAGCAUGGGGAGCAAACAGGAUUAGAUACCCGAGUAGUCCCUGUCUCUUAUAC
rnacentral:rRNA from 1 species